AUACUUAGCACAUUGGCGAGAAUCCCUCGAUGAUCCCGACACUAAGAUAAUUCGACCUCAACAGGUAUACACUGGGGAAUGGCUACGACAUUACAUUCCUCCAAAAGAACGACUUGUACCGGCCAAAGCAGACAGGCUCGGUCAGGUUUCCGUUUCCAAUGCCUCCAAGCGUCGGCUGUCUGGAUCAGGGAUCUAGACUAUUUGGGAUGCAUACUUAUGGAAUGUAGGAGAAUAAAACAAAUGCAUCGCAAGGAAAGCAAAACUUGUUGGUUGGUUCAAUCACACUGCCUGAAUACGAAACAGAGAUGCAAAGGAGAAUGUUUAGAGAUAGAUCUCCACAAAAAAUAAAUGUCACUGCCAAUUGUAUGCAGUGACUAAGUUUCUUGUUUUACAAGGAAGUGCUAUUGUAAGUUAUUUCUUUGCAUAUUAUUUUUAUUUAUUUAUUAUUUUAAUUUUAAUUUUCCAUAUUUAUAUUUA